rnacentral:rRNA from 1 species
GAUGAACGCUGGCGGCGUGCCUAAUACAUGCAAGUCGAGCGAACGGACGAGAAGCUUGCUUCUCUGAUGUUAGCGGCGGACGGGUGAGUAACACGUGGAUAACCUACCUAUAAGACUGGGAUAACUUCGGGAAACCGGAGCUAAUACCGGAUAAUAUUUUGAACCGCAUGGUUCAAAAGUGAAAGACGGUCUUGCUGUCACUUAUAGAUGGAUCCGCGCUGCAUUAGCUAGUUGGUAAGGUAACGGCUUACCAAGGCAACGAUGCAUAGCCGACCUGAGAGGGUGAUCGGCCACACUGGAACUGAGACACGGUCCAGACUCCUACGGGAGGCAGCAGUAGGGAAUCUUCCGCAAUGGGCGAAAGCCUGACGGAGCAACGCCGCGUGAGUGAUGAAGGUCUUCGGAUCGUAAAACUCUGUUAUUAGGGAAGAACAUACGUGUAAGUAACUGUGCACAUCUUGACGGUACCUAAUCAGAAAGCCACGGCUAACUACGUGCCAGCAGCCGCGGUAAUACGUAGGUGGCAAGCGUUAUCCGGAAUUAUUGGGCGUAAAGCGCGCGUAGGCGGUUUUUUAAGUCUGAUGUGAAAGCCCACGGCUCAACCGUGGAGGGUCAUUGGAAACUGGAAAACUUGAGUGCAGAAGAGGAAAGUGGAAUUCCAUGUGUAGCGGUGAAAUGCGCAGAGAUAUGGAGGAACACCAGUGGCGAAGGCGACUUUCUGGUCUGUAACUGACGCUGAUGUGCGAAAGCGUGGGGAUCAAACAGG